rnacentral:lncRNA from 1 species
UUUGUUUUUGUUUUUUGUUUUAUUUUUCCCGCGACCGAGUCUCGCUGUCACCCAGGCUGCUGUGCAAUGAUGCGAUCAUAGCGCACUGCAUCAUCUCCAGGGCACAUCUCUCCUCCCGCCUCGGCCUCCCAAAGUGUUGAGGUGGUAGGCAUGAGGCAUCCAGCAGGGCUUCAUUCACAUUUUCUGUCUGCCUAUGGAGGCUGGGAUCAGCCCUGGCCAUUCAGGGAGUUCCGUGGAGGGUGCCCCGGGCCCACCAGGCCAUCCUCUGACCGCUUUGGGCCGAGUGUAUUACAGGUUCAUGUGGGACCCGAACCAGGCGGUGUAGACUGGGGAAAGUGCCUGUCUGGUGAGGUCCGGCGGGUGUUCGAGCGCCACCUAGGGUCAGUCUGAUGCCAUCCCCUGAGCUUGGCUGCCGCGUGUAUGGGAAGUGAUCUGGCUGCAAACCGCAAGAGAGAGUUCCAGGAGGUCGCCGGCGAUGACAGAGUCUUCUCGGCUACGACACGCGCCGCCCCAUCAUGGGCUCUCCUGAGAUCGUUACUGCGUGUUGCGGGCGAGCAGUCUCUGAGAAUCUCGCGGGCUGAAUGUCGCAUGAGGUCCCCUCCGCCCGUGGGGACUGGCUGCUGCCGUCGCAGUUCUCAGGAGAUCUGAUGGUUUAAAGAUGUGCGGCACUUCCCACUUCGUGCUCUCUCCUGAUCCCUCCUGCUUCAAGUGAAGACUGACUCGAUCCCCAGUAGCCUUCCGCCUUGAUAAGUUUCCUGAGGCCUCCCAGCCUUGCUUCCUGUACAGCCUGCAGAACUGUGUGACCGUGGUGAUUGCUGGCAAUAGGGCACUGAAAAUACCACUGUUUUGAAGAGAAUUUUGUUUUAUGACAAAAUCUGUCAUGGUGGAAUCAGGAAUACAUAGUCCCUAGUGGCAUUAACAGAACAAGAACCAUACAAAUUAAAGCUCAUAGAAACACAAAGGGAAGACAGAACCUCAGAGAACAAUGCCAACCAUGACAGUCUGAAAUAGAUGCUUGGGCCACACAUGAAGGCUAGAAGGAAAAUCCAAACUGUACGUGGAUCUUUGAUGCGGAGCUUGUGGAGACAACUGUGGAAACCAACACAUCUCUUUGAGAAUGGAAGUCAAGCAGCUCAGGGUGUUUUCAGGAUACUUUUGAUUGGCAGAGAAAAUAACCAGGAAAAUGAGCAGGAAGCAGGCUGUCUCCCUGUAUGGUGGGGUUCCAAUACCUGACUAAUGUCUUCUUCACUUCUGCCUGGCAAAUCUCAUGCAAGUGAGGCUAUAAGUGAAUUUCAACAUGGAUCUAUAAAGGGAACAGAUUCUAGGAAAUUUACCUGUGUCGACAGGUAGCAGGAGGGCCACGUCCAGCUCUAGAUUUUAUUGUCCUAUCACAGGUGUCCUUCCUGAAUUCAAACUCUACUAUUCAAAUCCCAGACAGAAUUAUAAAAAAAAGGCGAAAAUAAUAAUUCGCAUAAGAAUAUAUGAUAAACUUCACAUACUUACCAACUUAUGCCAGAUGUUUAAUAAAAAGGAAAAUGGAAUAAGGCUCUUCUAGCUGAAAUUCAUUUUAUUUAUUUAUUUAUUUGAGAUGGAGUCU